AUGUUAUUCUUUGUGAGUCCGUUGGCUUUUUUUUUGCCUGCGUCCAGGGAGGAGGCCCUGGAGGCAUCUCUUAUCCAGAGAACAGAGACAGGGAGAACGAUGGAGUGGAGCGGUGCCAGGGCUCAAUCAUUUAGAAAGAUUAUUGGAUGUUUGUCUCCCAGAUUCAGUUCCCUCUACUGUCAUAUCUCCUUUUGCAAUUUGCUGCAUGCACUUUAUUCACAACAGAAAUAUUUUUUCUUAUCAAUUGAAAAGGAAUCGAUAGCUGGACAAGCGGUGGGUGCAUUUUACCGAAAUGGAACUAAAAGAUCUUAA
rnacentral:rRNA from 1 species